AUGCGGUCUGUGCCUGCGUGCUACCCAAACGUCGAUCUGAAUACCACUGAACGCUGGUUUGAAAAUUUCCAUUUUUGUAAUUUGCUUUCCUUUGUUAAGCCAAGACUUGAGAGAAACCUGGCAGUCGUCUCCAAGUCUGGCACGAUUUCCCUUCCGACCCACUCGGUUGGUGGGGAUGUGGAGGGGACCGCACAAGAGAGGAGAGAGAGGGAGGGAGGUGGCUUGAAACUCGCCCGCCCGCCCACCGGGGCCUGCGGAGGGAGCAAGCCCAGCGUCUCAGCCAGGGGGUUUGGCUCCACCUACAGGAAUCUGAGGGCACUCGAAGCAGAUCCCUCUGCCGCCAAGGAAACCAAAGGUGGGGACUUGGACAACUGCUGGAGAAUUUCCCAGCCAAUAGGAAUGGGCUCUAAGGAGCUGACGGGGCUAUAUGCCAGAGACUGUGUAUAUAUACAUUUAUAAAAAAAUGUUUAAAACACGGUACCAACAUUUGGAGAGCUCAUGAGUAAGCAUUGGACAUUGCUUCCAUUUCUGGGACUUCCCUGGUGGUCCACUGGCUGAGACUCUGCUCCCAAUGCAAGAGGCCUGGGUUCGACCCCUGGUCAAGGAACUAGAUUCUACAUGUGGCAACCAAGUCAUAACAUGCCACAACUAAGAUCCAAAAGAACCAAAUAAACUAGUAUAUAUAUAUUCAUAUCCUUAUAUUUUAAAAGGAAGAGAAACCAAUAAUUAUGUAAAAAUGGAGAAGAGGAGGAAAGGAGAGGGAGAGAAAGAGGAAGACCAAAACUCCCACCUGUUUAUUGAAAUCCUUCCAGAUCACAGGACCCCAGGAUUGGGAAACAGAGUGCUUGUCAUACAGUUAAUUCUCUCAGUUCAGUUCAGUCACUCAGUCGUGUCUGACUCUUUGCGACCCC
rnacentral:lncRNA from 1 species